AGGUGCUGGAGGGUGUAGCCUCCAUGUUUCUUUGACUACCAUUUUUAGGUAGUGGAGCUGCUCUAUGUCAUCCAAGGUGAUCAUUGACUUGUUCCCAAUUUGAUUUCUGAUUUCUGAUUGCAGUUUCUUCAUUGCUCUUGGGCUUCUCAUAAGUUCUGUCAUUGCCCACGUCAUUGUUAUUGCAGAAGUGCCUAUGCCCCCAAUAAGAACAUUCUGUAAUCAGAUAUAAAAAAUAAAUGUUGGAAUCCUCAGGUAAAAUUCUUAGAGUUGCAAAUAUUUAUUUAUUUUUUUUAUUUUGAUCAACUCAAAUAUUUAUAUCUAUAGUUACCAUUAAGAUUGCUUUGACAUGGUUUCUUGUGAGCUUCCCAUAUCCAAGAACAGAUUCUUCUUUCUGAAACCUCAAGAGCAGAUCCACAAAAUCUUCACUUCCCUUUUCUUUUUCCUCUCUAUGUAGGUCAAACAUCUGUUCAUAGAAAGCAUCAAGAUCUCUCACACUCCUCUCUCUCCUCCCUUGUAAGCCGGUGAGCCGGUCGACGAUCCAGCCGCCGU
rnacentral:lncRNA from 1 species